rnacentral:rRNA from 1 species
CACAUGCAGUCGAGGGGCAGCAUCAUCAAAGCUUGCUUUGAUGGAUGGCGACCGGCGCACGGGUGAGUAACACGUAUCCAACCUGCCGACAACACUGGGAUAGCCUUUCGAAAGAAAGAUUAAUACCGGAUGGCAUAAUUAUUCCGCAUGGGAUAAUUAUUAAAGAAUUUCGGUUGUCGAUGGGGAUGCGUUCCAUUAGGCAGUUGGCGGGGUAACGGCCCACCAAACCUACGAUGGAUAGGGGUUCUGAGAGGAAGGUCCCCCACAUUGGAACUGAGACACGGUCCAAACUCCUACGGGAGGCAGCAGUGAGGAAUAUUGGUCAAUGGACGAGAGUCUGAACCAGCCAAGUAGCGUGAAGGAUGACUGCCCUAUGGAUUGUAAACUUCUUUUAUACGGGAAUAAAGUUAGCCACGUGUGGCUUUUUGUAUGUACCGUAUGAAUAAGGAUCGGCUAACUCCGUGCCAGCAGCCGCGGUAAUACGGAGGAUCCGAGCGUUAUCCGGAUUUAUUGGGUUUAAAGGGAGCGUAGGCGGGUUGUUAAGUCAGUUGUGAAAGUUUGCGGCUCAACCGUAAAAUUGCAGUUGAUACUGGCGACCUUGAGUGCAACAGAGGUAGGCGGAAUUCGUGGUGUAGCGGUGAAAUGCUUAGAUAUCACGAAGAACUCCGAUUGCGAAGGCAGCUUACUGGAUUGUAACUGACGCUGAUGCUCGAAAGUGUGGGUAUCAAACAGGAUUAGAUACCCUGGUAGUCCACACAGUAAACGAUGAAUACUCGCUGUUGGCGAUAUACGGUCAGCGGCCAAGCGAAAGCAUUAAGUAUUCCACCUGGGGAGUACGCCGGCACGGUGAAACUCAGAGGAAUUGACGGGGGCCCGCACAAGCGGAGGAACAUGUGGUUUAAUUCGAUGAUACGCG